GAUGAACGCUAGCGAUAGGCUUAACACAUGCAAGUCGAGGGGCAGCAUGGUCUUAGCUUGCUAAGACUGAUGGCGACCGGCGCACGGGUGCGUAACGCGUAUGCAACUUGCCUCACAGAGGGGGAUAACCCGUCGAAAGACGGACUAAUACCGCGUACACUUGGGAUAAGGCAUCCUGACCCAAGGAAAUGAAAUUCGCUGUGAGAUAGGCAUGCGUCCCAUUAGCUAGUUGGUGAGGUAACGGCUCACCAAGGCGACGAUGGGUAGGGGAACUGAGAGGUUGAACCCCCACACUGGUACUGAGACACGGACCAGACUCCUACGGGAGGCAGCAGUGAGGAAUAUUGGUCAAUGGGCGAGAGCCUGAACCAGCCAAGUCGCGUGAAGGAUGACUGUCUUAUGGAUUGUAAACUUCUUUUAUACGGGAAUAACAAGAGUCACGUGUGGCUCCCUGCAUGUACCGUAUGAAUAAGCAUCGGCUAACUCCGUG
rnacentral:rRNA from 1 species